CCUACGGGAGGCUGCAGUAGGGAAUAUUGCUCAAUGGGCGAAACCCUGAAGCAGCAACGCCGCGUGGAGGAUGAUGGUUUUCGGAUUGUAAACUCCUUUUGUUAGAGAAGAUAAUGGCGGUCUCUAACGAAUAAGCACCUGCUAACUCCGUGCCAGCAGCCGCGGUAAUACGGAGGGUGCAAGCGUUACUCGGAAUCACUGGGCGGAAAGAGCGCGUAGGCGGGAUAGCAAUUCGGAGGUGAAAUCCUAGGGCUUAACCAUAGAACUGCAUUUGAAACUGGUAUUCUAGAGUAUGGGAGAGGUAGGUGGAAUUCUUGGUGUAGGGGUAAAAUCCGUAGAGAUCAAGAGGAAUACUGAUUGCGAAGGCGACCUGCUAGAACAUAACUGACGCUGAUGCGCGAAAGCGUGGGGAGCAAACAGGAUUAGAUACCCUAGUAGUC
rnacentral:rRNA from 1 species